rnacentral:rRNA from 1 species
GAUGAACGCUGGCGGCGUGCCUAAUACAUGCAAGUCGAGCGAACAGAUAAGGAGCUUGCUCCUUUGACGUUAGCGGCGGACGGGUGAGUAACACGUGGGUAACCUACCUAUAAGACUGGAAUAACUCCGGGAAACCGGGGCUAAUGCCGGAUAACAUUUAGAACCGCAUGGUUCUAAAGUGAAAGAUGGUUUUGCUAUCACUUAUAGAUGGACCCGCGCCGUAUUAGCUAGUUGGUAAGGUAACGGCUUACCAAGGCAACGAUACGUAGCCGACCUGAGAGGGUGAUCGGCCAAACUGGAACUGAGACACGGUCCAGACUCCUACGGGAGGCAGCAGUAGGGAAUCUUCCGCAAUGGGCGAAAGCCUGACGGAGCAACGCCGCGUGAGUGAUGAAGGUCUUCGGAUCGUAAAACUCUGUUAUUAGGGAAGAACAAAUGUGUAAGUAACUGUGCACGUCUUGACGGUACCUAAUCAGAAAGCCACGGCUAACUACGU